rnacentral:tRNA from 1 species
GGCCAGUUAGCUCAGCCAGUUGAGCAUGGCGCUAACAACGCCAAGGUCACGGGUUCGAUUCCCGUUUGGUCC